rnacentral:rRNA from 1 species
UUCUGUAGGGGUACCUGCGGAGGGAUCAUUACCGAGUUUACAACUCCCAAACCCCUGUGAACAUACCUAUAAUUUGCCUCGGCAGACUCAACGACGGUGCUCCGAGAAAUCGGGCGCCGCUCGCUGCCAGAGGAACCCCAAACUCUAUGUAUUCUUGUGGAUCUUCUGAGUAAAACAAAACAAAUAAAUCAAAACUUUCAACAACGGAUCUCUUGGUUCUGGCAUCGAUGAAGAACGCAGCGAAAUGCGAUAAGUAAUGUGAAUUGCAGAAUUCAGUGAAUCAUCGAAUCUUUGAACGCACAUUGCGCCCGCCAGUAUUCUGGCGGGCAUGCCUGUUCGAGCGUCAUUUCAACCCUCAAGCCCCUAGGGCUUGGUGUUGGGGAUCGGCGAUAGUCGCCGUCCCCCAAAUCUAGUGGCGGUCUCGCUGUAGCCUCCAUUGCGUAGUAGCUAACACCUCGCAACUGGAACGCGGCGCGGCCAAGCCGUUAAACCCCCCAACUUCUGAAUGUUGACCUCGGAUCAGGUAGGAAUACCCGCUGAACUUAAGCAUAUCAAUAAGACGGAGGAAA